rnacentral:rRNA from 1 species
AUUGAACGCUGGCGGCACGCCUUACACAUGCAAGUCGAACGGCAGCACGGGAGCAAUCCUGGUGGCGAGUGGCGAACGGGUGAGUAAAGUAUCGGAACGUGCCCAGUCGUGGGGGAUAACGUAGCGAAAGUUACGCUAAUACCGCAUACGAUCUAUGGAUGAAAGCGGGGGAUCGCAAGACCUCGCGCGAUUGGAGCGGCCGAUAUCAGAUUAGGUAGUUGGUGGGGUAAAGGCUCACCAAGCCGACGAUCUGUAGCUGGUCUAAGAGGACGACCAGCCACACUGGGACUGAGACACGGCCCAGACUCCUACGGGAGGCAGCAGUGGGGAAUUUUGGACAAUGGGCGCAAGCCUGAUCCAGCCAUGCCGCGUGCAGGAUGAAGGCCUUCGGGUUGUAAACUGCUUUUGUACGGAACGAAAAGGUUUGACCUAAUACGUUGGACUCAUGACGGUACCGUAAGAAUAAGCACCGGCUAACUACGUGCCAGCAGCCGCCGUAA